rnacentral:rRNA from 1 species
UACGAAGGGGGCUAGCGUUGCUCGGAAUCACUGGGCGUAAAGGGUGCGUAGGCGGGUCUUUAAGUCAGGGGUGAAAUCCUGGAGCUCAACUCCAGAACUGCCUUUGAUACUGAAGAUCUUGAGUCCGGGAGAGGUGAGUGGAACUGCGAGUGUAGAGGUGAAAUUCGUAGAUAUUCGCAAGAACACCAGUGGCGAAGGCG